CCGGAAAGCGGUGCUUUCUCAUGGCAGGAUUCCAAAGUGGUACCAGGUGUUGUCUCCACAGACAUCUUUAAUCUUCAGCAUCAGGCGUCCCUUCCAUUUUCUCUACGCAUACCUCCCACUCUGGAAUGAAUGAAAUCCCAGGUCCUUCGAGGGUGGUGCAAAUUCUGCCCCCUCUGGCCUCAGCUGGAUGGGGACACAGUGUCAAUCGGUUCUAGCUCCUGCUGAUUCUGCAGAGAAGGGAGGAUGAGCUUCCAGUCUCAGGGAGAGAACACUGGAAUCUUAGAGUUGACUGCAACUUGGAGACUACACACCUCCCCAUUCUUGACAUGCCAAGUUUAAGGAUUUCUCUUGUGAUGACCGUGAGAUACAGCAUAACACAUCUGCAGUAGGCAUAUGUUGUUUUCCCAUUGCUUCUCCCUUGGGUGAGUUUCCCCUUUCUCAUUUCAAGUGUUCUUAUUGAGCGCAUGACCGGGACUGACCCAUACAUAUACCCUGUUCUUCUGGUUAUAGUUAAUGGUCCAGGGAAGGCACAUGACCCAAACUGGAGCAUCCUUCCUUGUCUUGUGUGCUUUGGUUGCUGGUAUUCUUAUUUUCUUCACCUUCUGACGGUUUCUGUUUUAACCCAGAAUGAUGCUGAGUUCUAAUUUGCAUUGGAUAACUGGAGCAGAUUGUACAAUAUAUUUGAACUAUUAUUUAAAUUUUAAAAUGCUAUUGUAUUUUAUAAUUGGAAUGGAUAUAACAAUUUUAUUCAGACCACAAACACUUCUGCACUGAUUUUGCCAUGCUCUGUCACAAGGUGAAGUAUAAUACUCCUCCUCUUAUAUAUGAGUGGGCCUUAGUGACUAGUUAGACUAGUAGAAUGUGACAAAGGAUAAUUUCUAUAAAAUUUCCUCUUCAUGUAUCUAGUGCCUAGAUCAAGUAAUGGAACAUUACCUGCCCUCAGAAGUCUCCUUUGUGUCCCCGUCCACCAGCCACCCCCAAGGUUACCUCCGUUUUGACUUCUGAAACUAUUGCUUAAUGUUGCUUGCUUGUGAAUUGUAUAUAAACAGAAUCUUUUGUGUCUGGCUUCUGUUGCUCAGCUUCAUGUUUGUGAGAUUCAUUCAUAUAGUUAUGUGGGGUUGUACUUGUUCAUUCUCAUGGUGGUAUUCCAUUGUAUGAAUGUGCUAUAAUUUAUUAUCCAGUCUAUUGUUGAUAGACAUUGGGUAGUUUCCAGCGCUAGGACAUUAUGAAUUGUGCUGCUGUCAACACCCUUGUCCACGUCUUUUGGUAAACAUAUGUACGUAUUGCUGUUGGGUAUAUAUUAGGGGUGGAAAUGCAUGUGUUCAUCAUUCCUCAGUGUAGCCAAAAAGUUUUUCAGAGAGGCUAUACCAGUUCACACUCGCACAGGCUCUGUGUUAGAAUUCUUUUUUUUUUUUAAAUUAAUGAAUGUAUUACAUUUGUAGUUGUACAAUGAUCAUCCCAAGCCAACUUCACAGGAUUUCCAUCCCACAACCCCAGUGCAUCCCUCCCACCCCCAACUGUCUCCUUUGGAGACCAUAAGUUUUUCAGUGUCUGUGAGUCAGCAUCUGUUCUGCAAAGAGGUUCAGUCUGUCCUUUUUUCAGAUUCCACAUGUCAGUGAAAGCAUUUGAUGUUGGUGUCUCAUUGUAUGGCUGACUUCACUUAGCAUGAUAAUUUCCAGGUCCAUCCAUGUUGCUAAAAAUGCUGGCAUUUCAUUUUUUUUAAUGGCUGAGUAAUAUUCCAUUGUGUAUGUGUACCACAUCUUCUUGAUCCACUCCUCCUGUUGAUGGACAUUCAGGUCGUUUCCAUAUCUUGGCUAUUGCAAAUAGUGCUGACUUUCUCCCAUUCUGUGGGUUGUCUUUUUGUGUUGUUUAGGGUUUCCUUUGCUGUGCAGAAACUUUUAAGUUUAAUUAGGUCCCAUUUGCUUAUUUUUGUUUUAGUUGUCAAUACUCUGAGAGGUGGAUCUGAGUACAUGAACAUUGGAGUACAUGUGUCUUUGCAAGUCAUGGUUUUCUCUGGAUAGUUGCCUAGGAGUAGGAUUGCUGGAUCAAAUGGUAGUCCUAUUUUUAGUUUUCUGAGGAAUAUUCAUACUGUUUUCCACAGUGGUUGCACCAAUUUACAAUCCCACCAAUAGCAUAAUAGGG
rnacentral:lncRNA from 1 species